rnacentral:rRNA from 1 species
AACCCUCAAGCACCGCUUGGCGUUGGGGCUUCCACGGCUGACGUGGGCCCCCAAAGACAGUGGCGGACCCUCGCGGAGCCUCCUUUGCGUAGUAACAUACCACCUCGCACCGGGACCCGCAGGCACUCCUGCCGUAAAACCCCCCAAUUUUUACAAGG